GACGAACGCUGGCGGCGUGCUUAACACAUGCAAGUCGAACGGAAAGGCCCUGCUUUUGUGGGGUGCUCGAGUGGCGAACGGGUGAGUAACACGUGAGUAACCUGCCCUUGACUUUGGGAUAACUUCAGGAAACUGGGGCUAAUACCGGAUAGGAGCUCCUGCUGCAUGGUGGGGGUUGGAAAGUUUCGGCGGUUGGGGAUGGACUCGCGGCUUAUCAGCUUGUUGGUGGGGUAGUGGCUUACCAAGGCUUUGACGGGUAGCCGGCCUGAGAGGGUGACCGGCCACAUUGGGACUGAGAUACGGCCCAGACUCCUACGGGAGGCAGCAGUGGGGAAUAUUGCACAAUGGGCGGAAGCCUGAUGCAGCAACGCCGCGUGCGGGAUGACGGCCUUCGGGUUGUAAACCGCUUUCGCCUGUGACGAAGCGUGAGUGACGGUAAUGGGUAAAGAAGCACCGGCUAACUACGUGCCAACAGCCGCGGUGAUACGUAAGGUGCGAGCGUUGUCCCGAUUUAUUGGGCGUAAAGGGCUCCUAAGUGGUUGAUCGCGUCGGAAGUGUAAUCUUGGGGCUUAACCCUGAGCGUGCUUUCGAUACGGGUUGACUUGAGGAAGGUAGGGGAGAAUGGAAUUCCUGGUGGAGCGGUGGAAUGCGCAGAUAUCAGGAGGAACACCAGUGGCGAAGGCGGUUCUCUGGGCCUUUCCUGACGCUGAGGAGCGAAAGCGUGGGGAGCGAACAGGCUUAGAUACCCUGGUAGUCCACGCUGUAAACGGUGGGUACUAGGUGUGGGGUCCAUUCCACGGGUUCCGUGCCGUAGCUAACGCUUUAAGUACCCCGCCUGGGGAGUACGGCCGCAAGGCUAAAACUCAAAGGAAUUGACGGGGCCCCGCACAAGCGGCGGAGCAUGCGGAUUAAUUCGAUGCAACGCGUAGAACCUUACCUGGGUUUGACAUGGAUCGGGAGCGCUCAGAGAUGGGUGUGCCUCUUUUGGGGUCGGUUCACAGGUGGUGCAUGGCUGUCGUCAGCUCGUGUCGUGAGAUGUUGGGUUAAGUCCCGCAACGAGCGCAACCCUUGUUCACUGUUGCCAGCACGUUAUGGUGGGGACUCAGUGGAGACCGCCGGGGUCAACUCGGAGGAAGGUGGGGAUGACGUCAAGUCAUCAUGCCCCUUAUGUCCAGGGCUUCACGCAUGCUACAAUGGCUGGUACAGAGAGUGGCGAGCCUGUGAGGGUGAGCGAAUCUCGGAAAGCCGGUCUCAGUUCGGAUUGGGGUCUGCAACUCGACCUCAUGAAGUCGGAGUCGCUAGUAAUCGCAGAUCAGCAACGCUGCGGUGAAUACGUUCCCGGGGCU
rnacentral:rRNA from 1 species